GAUUCUGGCUCAGGAUGAACGCUAGCUACAGGCUUAACACAUGCAAGUCGCGGGGCAGCAUGUAUCUGGCUUGCCAGAUACGAUGGCGACCGGCGCACGGGUGAGUAACGCGUAUCCAACCUGCCCAUAACCACGGCACAGCCCGUCGAAAGGCGGAUUAAUGCCGUAUGAGGUUCCAGAGUAGCAUUAUUAUGGAACGAAAGGAUUGGCGGUUAUGGAUGGGGAUGCGUCCGAUUAGCUAGUUGGCGGGGUAACGGCCCACCAAGGCGACGAUCGGUAGGGGUUCUGAGAGGAAGGUCCCCCACACUGGAACUGAGACACGGUCCAGACUCCUACGGGAGGCAGCAGUGAGGAAUAUUGGUCAAUGGGCGGAAGCCUGAACCAGCCAAGUAGCGUGCAGGACGACGGCCCUAUGGGUUGUAAACUGCUUUUUCGCGGGGAUAAAGAGGGGGAUGCGUCCCCCGUUGCAGGUACCGCGUGAAUAAGGACCGGCUAAUUCCGUGCCAGCAGCCGCGGUAAUACGGAAGGUCCGGGCGUUAUCCGGAUUUAUUGGGUUUAAAGGGAGCGCAGGCCGUAUGGUAAGCGUGUUGUGAAAUGCCGUGGCUCAACCAUGGCACUGCAGCGCGAACUGCCGUACUUGAGUACGCUGGAGGUAGGCGGAAUUCGUGGUGUAGCGGUGAAAUGCUUAGAUAUCACGAAGAACCCCGAUUGCGAAGGCAGCCUACCGUAGCGGCACUGACGCUGAGGCUCGAAAGCGUGGGUAUCGAACAGGAUUAGAUACCCUGGUAGUCCACGCGGUAAACGAUGGAUGCUCGCCAUUGGGCAGUAAUGUUCAGGGGCCAAGCGAAAGCGUUAAGCAUCCCACCUGGGGAGUACGCCGGCAACGGUGAAACUCAAAGGAAUUGACGGGGGCCCGCACAAGCGGAGGAACAUGUGGUUUAAUUCGAUGAUACGCGAGGAACCUUACCCGGGCUUGAACUGCAGGAGAACGAGACAGAGAUGUUGAGGCCCUUCGGGGCUCCUGUGGAGGUGCUGCAUGGUUGUCGUCAGCUCGUGCCGUGAGGUGUCGGCUCAAGUGCCAUAACGAGCGCAACCCCUGUCCGUAGUUGCCAUCAGUAUCAGCUGGGCACUCUGCGGAGACUGCCGCCGUAAGGUGUGAGGAAGGUGGGGAUGACGUCAAAUCAGCACGGCCCUUACGUCCGGGGCUACACACGUGUUACAAUGGGCCAUACAGAGCGUUAUGUGGCGGCAACGCCACUGCAAUCGUGAAAGUGGCUCUCAGUUCGGACUGGGGUCUGCAACCCGACCCCACGAAGCUGGAUUCGCUAGUAAUCGCGCAUCAGCCAUGGCGCGGUGAAUACGUUCCCGGGCCUUGUACACACCGCCCGUCAAGCCAUGAAAGCCGGGGGCGCCUGAAGUCCGUGACCGCGAGGGUCGGCCUAGGGCGAAACCGGUGAUUGGGGCUAAGUCGUAACAAG
rnacentral:rRNA from 1 species